AGCAGCCGCGGUAAUUCCAGCUCCAAUAGCGUAUAUUAAAGUUGUUGCAGUUAAAAAGCUCGUAGUUGAAUUUCGGGAUUGACGUGAUGGUCAUGCCUUAAGGGGUAUGAACUGUUACUGUUGAUUUCUCACCUUCUGGAGAAACUUGAUGUCCUUUAUUGGGUGUCUUGCGGAUCCAGGACCUUUACCUUGAAAAGAUUAGAGUGUUUAAAGCAGGCAUUUUUGCUCGAAUACAUUAGCAUGGAAUAAUAGAAUAGGACGGCAUGGUUCUAUUUUGUUGGUUUCUAGGAUCACCGUAAUGAUUAAUAGGGAUAGUUGGGGGCAUUAGUAUUCAAUUGUCAGAGGUGAAAUUCUUGGAUUUAUUGAAGACUAACUACUGCGAAAGCAUUUGCCAAGGAUGUUUUCAUUAAUCAAGAACGAAAGUUAGGGGAUCGAAGACGAUCAGAUACC
rnacentral:rRNA from 1 species